UACGUAGGGUGCAAGCAUUGUCCGGAAUUAUUGGGCGUAAAGAGCUCGUAGGCGGUCUGUCACGUCGGCUGUGAAAUCCCGAGGCUCAACCUCGGGUCUGCAGUCGAUACGGGCAAACUAGAGUAUUGCAGGGGAGACUGGAAUUCCUAGUGUAGCGGUGAAAUGCGCAGAUAUCAGGAGGAACACCGGUGGCGAAGGCGGGUCUCUGGGCCGGUACCGACGCUGAGGAGCGAAAGCGUGGGGAGCGAACAGG
rnacentral:rRNA from 1 species